rnacentral:rRNA from 1 species
AAAGUUGUUGCGGUUAAAAAGCUCGUAGUCGAAGGUGUGUCUCGGACGGUCGGUUCGCCGCUUGUCGGUGCUCAACUGGCCGGUCCGGACGUCCUGCCGGUGGGGCUGUAAAAGGCUCCGUUAUCCUUCUUUGGUCCUCUUCACUGAGUGCCUUGGUGGGCCGGCACGUUUACUUUGAACAAAUUAGAGUGCUCAAAGCAGGCCGUUGGUCGCCUGAAUACUGUGUGCAUGGAAUAAUGGAAUAGGACCUCGGUUCCAUUUUGUUGGUUUUCAGAACUCGAGGUAAUGAUUAAUAGGGACGGACGGGGGCAUUCGUAUUGCGACGUUAGAGGUGAAAUUCUUGGAUCGUCGCAAGACGAACCGAUGCGAAAGCAUUUGCCAAGAACGUUUUCGUUGAUCAAGAACGAAAGUUAGAGGUUCGAAGGCGAUCAGAUACCGCCCUAGUUCUAACCAUAAACGAUGCCAGCUAGCCAUCCGCCGAAGUUCCUUAUAUGACUCGGCGGGCAGCUUCCGGGAAACCAAAGCUCUUGGGUUCCGGGGGAAGUAUGGUUGCAAAGCUCAAACUUAAAGGAAUUGACG